GAUGAAGAACGCAGCAAAAUGCGAUAAGUAAUGUGAAUUGCAGAAUUCAGUGAAUCAUCGAAUCUUUGAACGCACAUUGCGCCCGCCAGUAUUCUGGCGGGCAUGCCUGUUCGAGCGUCAUUUCAACCCUCAAGCCCCCGGGUUUGGUGUUGGGGAUCGGGCUGUACUCCAGCCCGGCCCCGAAAUCUAGUGGCGGUCUCGCUGCAGCCUCCAUUGCGUAGUAGCUAACACCUCGCAACUGGAACGCGGCGCGGCCAAGCCGUUAAACCCCCAACUUCUGAAUGUUGACCUCGGAUCAGGUAGGAAUACCCGCUGAACUUAAGCAUAUCAAUAACGGAGGA
rnacentral:misc_RNA from 1 species